rnacentral:misc_RNA from 1 species
AAGUCGUAACAAGGUUUCCGUAGGUGAACCUGCGGAAGGAUCAUUAUUAAAAUCAAAACGGGAUUGCCCCUAGAUUGAAGGUGUGAGUCCAAAGCGAGCAUCUUUAGUUUGAGGGCAGGAUCUAGGAUAUUAGUAUAAAUGUGCUUGACUGUAUAUUUAUGCUGGUAUUUUAUUUCAAAUUCUCACAUACACGAUAUACAUAUUGACGAAAAAGAUUGACAAAAUAAUCAAAACAACUUUUAACAAUGGAUCUCUUGGCUCUU